CUGCUUUUAUAAGGGAAUAAAGUGAGUCUCGUGAGACUUUUUGCAUGUACCUUAUGAAUAAGGACCGGCUAAUUCCGUGGCAGCAGCCGCGGUAAUACGGAAGGUCCGGGCGUUAUCCGGAUUUAUUGGGUUUAAAGGGAGCGUAGGCCGGAGAUUAAGCGUGUUGUGAAAUGUAGAUGCUCAACAUCUGAACUGCAGCGCGAACUGGUUUCCUUGAGUACGCACAAAGUGGGCGGAAUUCGUGGUGUAGCGGUGAAAUGCUUAGAUAUCACGAAGAACUCCGAUUGCGAAGGCAGCUCACUGGAGCGCAACUGACGCUGAAGCUCGAAAGUGGGGGUAUCGAACAGGAUUAGAUACCCUGGUAGUCCGCACGGUAAA
rnacentral:rRNA from 1 species